UGCGCAGUGAACUCAAAACAGACUGGGCAGUGGGAGGAGGCCGCUGAGCGCGGCGCGAGGAACCAUGGAGGCCGUGAAGACUGAAGCAGAGGCGGCCGCCGGAGAGGUUUUGGCAGAGGUGGCAGACAUCCUGGAACCUAUAGGCCUGCAGGAGGAGACAGAACUGCCAGCUCAGAUCAUGGCUGAGUUUGUGAUGGACUCCCGGAAGAAAGACAAGUUGCUCUGUAGCCAGCUUCAGGUAGUGGACUUCCUGCAGAACUUUCUAGCUCAGGAGGACACUUCGAAGGGCCUUGCCCACUUGGAUUCUGAAGAUACAAGCCGACAGAAGGCAGUGAUAGCCAAGGAACAGUGGAAAGACCUGAAGGCCACUUACCAGGAGCACGUGGAGGCCAUCACAGGUGCCCUGACCCAGGUUCUGUCCCAAGUGGAGGAGGCCCAAAGAAAGAGGACACAGCUUCAGGAAGCCCUUACACAGCUCCAGGCCAAGAAACAAAUGGCCAUAGAGAAAUUCAGAACAGCCCAGAAGCAGCGGCAGCUACAACAGGAGAAGCAUCUGCAACAUCUGGCAAAGGUUUCCGAAGAGGUGAGGGAACAUCAGGCAGGAACUCGGCAGGCGCUUGAGCAGCUAAGUCAGGAACUUGGAACCCUGAAGCAGCAGGCAGGACGUGCGCGGGACAAGCUGCAGAGUCACCAGAAGUACCUCCAGCUGCUAUAUACACUGCAGGGUAAGUCGCUUCUCACCGAGGCAGAGGCGCAGCUACCACAGGACGGCCCUGAAGAUAAGCCCCAGCGGCUGACCCAGCCCCGGGAGCAAAACACUGAGGAGGUCCUGGGGAGAGCCCCUGCUGUGUCUUCUAAGGUGUCUUAGAGACAGAUCAGAUGAGCAGUAAUGUUCAACAAUAACCAGAGAUUAUUGGAAUUUAAAGUAUACUGCUGGUGGUGGUGACUUGAAGAAUAGAAGUAGUUAGUGAAAUAAAUGUUAUAAACAAUAAAAAGGAAGAGCUAAUAAAUAUUCAGGACUCAUUUAUUUCCAUUAUGAAGACACCUGGAAGCUACAGGAAACUCAUCUAACUUUGUUGCAGUACUGAUUGCUAUCAGCAGUUUGCUAUUUUUUAACUUGUGUUUCCUGUUUAUUUGUAAAGAAGUAAAUGACAAGUUGUUUUAAUUUUAAAUUUCAUAUCAAGAACAGCAUUUACUUUUAGUGCUGCUUUAAAAUUUAAGAGAUGCUUACUUAUUGAAUGUUUUGGUUUGAUAGUAUUACAGUUUUAUUAGGAGAAUAGUGUACUUUUGUUUAGUCUUGGUUGAAGUCUGUGUAAUAUUGCCUAAUAGUUAAUUAUAUGACAUUACAUUAUACAUAACUAUAUGCAAUAUAAACUUAGAAAACUUAAAAAUUUAAUAUAAGGAAUCAUUGUCUUUAUCGAAGUACAAAUGCUUGACAAGAAAUCUGUAUAAAGAAUCUCCGCCUUUGUAAUGAAUCCUCCAAAGGUUCCAUGAAGUUUUAUACCUCGGCCCUCAGUCUAUGGUUUAGCAGUUUCUCUAACCCUUUGAACUAUCUUAUAUUAACAUAAGAUGUUUAAUCUCAUUGUUUUUAUUGUGUGUUUUUGUAAAAGAAACCAAACUCCUAGUAGUUCUAAUACUUUGGAACACUAGUUGCCUCUUCUUUUGGAAUUGUUUU